UGGCUCAGGACGAACGCUGGCGGCGUGCCUAAUACAUGCAAGUCGAACGGCUUUUCUAUGGAAGCUUGCUUCCACUGAGAAGAUAGUGGCGAACGGGUGAGUAACACGUGGGUAACCUGCCCAUAAGAGGGGGAUAACAUCCGGAAACGGGUGCUAAUACCGCAUAGUUUUCUUGAUCGCAUGAUCGGGAAAGGAAAGACGGCCUUUGUGCUGUCGCUUAUGGAUGGACCCGCGGCGUAUUAGUUAGUUGGUGAGGUAACGGCUCACCAAGACGAUGAUACGUAGCCGACCUGAGAGGGUGAUCGGCCACAUUGGGACUGAGACACGGCCCAAACUCCUACGGGAGGCAGCAGUAGGGAAUCUUCCGCAAUGGACGAAAGUCUGACGGAGCAACGCCGCGUGAGUGAAGAAGGUUUUUCCGGAUCGUAAAACUCUGUUGUCAGAGAAGAACAAGUUGGAGAGUAACUGCUCCAGCCUUGACGGUAUCUGACCAGAAAGCCACGGCUAACUACGUGCCAGCAGCCGC
rnacentral:rRNA from 1 species